UAGGGAAUCUUCGGCAAUGGACGAAAGUCUGACCGAGCAACGCCGCGUGAGUGAAGAAGGUUUUCGGAUCGUAAAACUCUGUUGUUAGAGAAGAACAAGGACGUUAGUAACUGAACGUCCCCUGACGGUAUCUAACCAGAAAGCCACGGCUAACUACGUGCCAGCAGCCGCGGUAAUACGUAGGUGGCAAGCGUUGUCCGGAUUUACUGGGCGUAAAGCGAGCGCAGGCGGUUUCUUAAGUCUGAUGUGAAAGCCCCCGGCUCAACCGGGGAGGGUCAUUGGAAACUGGGAGACUUGAGUGCAGAAGAGGAGAGUGGAAUUCCAUGUGUAGCGGUGAAAGGCGUAGAUAUAUGGAGGAACACCAGUGGCGAAGGCGGCUCUCUGGUCUGUAACUGACGCUGAGGCUCGAAAGCGUGGGGAGCAAACAGG
rnacentral:rRNA from 1 species